GGGUCAUGGUUCCAGAAGCAUGUACUUCUGACAAGGUAAGUGCAAGUCGAGAGAAAUAUUCACAAACAUGGACAGGCCUCUCCUGGUUCUGGACCAGACUCCACAGCCCCAAGGCCACAUCCUCAUGUGGAGCUAAGCAGAGUCAACACCCAGGAGUCCCCAGGCUUCACCUGUGCCUGGCUUGCCAGCAUUCCUUUGUCACAAGAAAUCAUACAUUAUUGUGGGUGGAGACUUCCCUGGUGGUCAUGUGGUUAAGAAUCCGCCUUCAGUGCAGGAGGCUGCAGGGGGGAACACAGGUUGGAUCCCUGAUCAGGAACUAGGACCCCACAUGCCCCGGGGCAAGUGAGCCUGUGCACCACAACUAGAAAAGCUCCCGCACACUUCAGCUAGAGAAAAGCCCCGGCAUGCUGCAACAAAGACCCAGUGCAGCCAAAAAAAAAAAAAAAACGAAUUUACUGUGGGUGAUGAGCAAUGCUUGAGAACUGGGCAGAAUGCAAACACUGUCAUUCCCCUGCUGUCCCUGCUGGGACCCCACACUCAGGAAAGCCAUCUGGGUGAGGUCGGAUGAGCAUGACCAGAGGAAGCAAGGGGCAGGUGGGCAGGGGCUUAACGCUCAGCUCUAGAGUAUGGUUCCUGUGCCACCCUGGGCUAGUUCCCCAGCCUCUCAGGGUCUAAUUUAUCCUCUCUUCUGAAGACAAUCUUUCUCAUCCUUGGCUAAAAUCACUUGAUGAACUUCAAAAAGACAACCACACCUGGACCCUGAGCCAGUUGGAGGAAAUUAGACUCCCUGGGGGUAGAACCCAUGAACCGUUGCACAGCUUGUGGGAUCUUGGUUCCUGGACCAGAGAUCGAAUACAGGCCCUCAGCAGUGAAACCAUGAAGUCUUAACCACUGGACCACCAGGGAAUUCACUAGUCUAUUAC
ensembl:lncRNA